GCCCGGGUCUCGGGGAGAGGGAGGGGGCUGGUUAUCUUUAGUUCGCAUCCAGAGUAAACGUUUCCCAGUGAUUUCUAGGUGACAGAUGACGCCUCCAGGGUCAGUUACCUCUCGGACUGACUGAGAGGCGCCAGGACAGCCCUCUAGGCUUCCCAGGGCCGAGUUAGGCCCGGGUCACGGGGUAAAAGCGAAGACCCUGUAGCCUGUGCAGUGCUUUCUGCAAAGCACACGUAGGAAUUUAGACUUUCUCAGCAGUAAUUACACCAUAACGCCCAGGUGCCCCCGGGUGCACUCAGAGAAUUAAUGGGCCUACCAGUCUCAUUUACUUCUUAGGGUCCCUGGGUCCCCUUCCACAAAUGAGCCUUCUCAGUGCACGAACGAGGCCCUGGAGGAUGAGAAGAGUGAUUGCUGCUCUCAAAGGUGAGGCCAAGAUGAAUGCCAGCCCCUGGAGGCCAGCCCCGACCCCCCCGACAGGGAGAUGCUCCGCAGUGACCGCGGCAGAAGGCGCUCGCACACUGAGCACAUGAUUCCAAGCAAAUGAGCGAACCCAGCGAUUAUUUCCACCCAGAAGUUGGUAAUGAACAGGCCCGUUAUUUAUUCAUUCAUUAAAUGAAGGCAAACAAGCCACCAAAGAGGAAGCCGUCUGGCCACGCUUUUAAUGAAUCUGCCCCAUUUCUGAGUGAAAUGUGGGCCAUGCAGAUGAGACGCCCAACUCGAGAAAUAUAUGACCCACUCAGGCUGCCACCCGCCCCGGCUUAAUUACAGAGAAUCAACAGCCCUGGCUUGCAGAGGACCAUGAUGGAAAUCAAACAGAGAAACUGAAAUACAGACUCCCAGGCAGGUGGCCUGACCUCGGAAAGCCCAGGGACCCCAUGGGUCUGUCUGCAGGACUGUGCCCGGGGCGUUCCAGAAAUCAGUGACACCAGAGGUGGCUGAGCUAGGUGAGGGAACAGAUGUACUUGAGGGACAUCAAACCCUUCUGAUGACCCUUGGGUGAUUCCUGAAUGCAUUACAGCUUUCAUUUAUCCAUGGGUUCGUCCACUCGGAGCAUUUAUUGAGUGCCUCCUGUAUCCCAGGUACUGUAUCAGAGGUCUGAAAAUACUAAGCAAAACUAGAUAUCAUUUCCCUUCUCUCACUCCUUUUUCCUAUAAUUUUUUAGUUAUAGAUGGACACAGCAUCUUUAUUUAUUUUUAUGUGGUGCUGAGGAUCGAACCCGGUGCCUCGCACAUGCUAGGAGAACGCUCUACCACUGAGCCCCAGCCCCAGCCCCCAUUCAUCACUCUUAAGUUGUAGUAGAGGAGAUGAUUAUGAAGCAGAUAGACACGCACGCACGCACACGCACACACGCACGCACACGCACACACACGCACGCACACACACGCACGCGCACGCACACGCACACACGCACGCACACACACACACAUGCACACGCACACACACACGCACACACUCGUAAUUAUAAAUCGGGAUGAGAACUCAGAGGAGGAGUUAGAAAGUGUCUUGCAAUCAAGUGACAAGGAGCCUUGGACUUGUUGGGGAAUCGAGGCAGGUGCCCUGGGAGGCCAGGUCUUGACUGGAUGAGGACAGGAGGAGGGGCAGAGGCAGGAGAAACCACGCGGGCGGCAGCACCUGAGUCCGAGAUGAGCCAAGCUCUGCAGCCAGAGAGGAGGCCCGGGCUGGUGUCCACGGGACCCUCAGAGGGCACUGAGUGGGACCGGUACAGGACUCCUAAAGGAAACCCUGUGGGCAGAUAACCAUCAUGAGAGCAGAAGGCUGGGGUGAGCCCACGGGUGUGGACAUCAGAGAGACCCUCGCUUUCUUCCAUGAGCUUCUGAAAAGGGGGGCUGAGCUUGAGUCGGCCCCCUGGAUGCUCUAGGAACAGGAUCCCUGGAUUUACUUAACCCUUCCUGACUUGAGGGGCUGCGCACACCAUGGCUGCACCCAGUGUCUUUAAGACCACUCAGUUCCCAGAAGAGUUCCCCCACCUCUCCCUGCUGUGAGACCACCAACCCCCAGGGCAGGGACCCCGGAGGCUUGGUCCUACCACUGGUGUGACCUUGCACAGGUCACUGAAUCUCACUGCAUCUCAAUCUCCUUGUGUGGCUGUAGUGCCUGCGUUAGAGCGUAGGGCUACCGUCAAGAGGGGAGGUGUGGAAGGUCUGUCCCACAGCAGGAGAGACAUAAAUACUUAAUACUACCUAGGGAGCUCCUCUCUUUCCCAUUUCAGGCUAAGGGACAAGAAAGAAAGAUUAGCAUUAAAGUGCCUGGGCGGGCAUGUGUGUGCUCCGUGUUGUUAGGCACACUUGAGACGUGCUCCUGAGACAGGAAUUGUAUUAGUCUCUUUUGUGUUGCUUUAACAAAAUACCUGAGGCUGGGUGCUUUAUAAAGUAAAGAGGUUUAUUUUACUUAUGACUGUGGUGGCUGGAGGGUCCAAAUAGCAUGGUGCCAUCAUCCUGGCAAGGAACCCCCAUUACCUACAGUGGAGAAUGGAAGGAGAGCUGACUGUGGGCAGAAGGGCUCAGGAAAAAUAAGACAAAUCUCAAAAGGUGGAAUACUGUACAAUUCAUUUAUAGGGCAUUCUUGAAAUAGCAAAAAUAUAGAGAUAGGGAAUAGUUUAGAGGUUACCAGGCAUUAUUAAGCAGAGCAAAGAGAGUUUGCAGUGUGUAUAAGAGGUGGAGAUAUCACUCACACACACACACACACACACACACACAAAUACACACACACACACACACACACCAUCUCACUGCACUACCAGAAUGGCUAAAAUUUAAAAGUCUGACAACAUUAAGUGUUGGCAAGGAUGUGGAGCUUGCAGGACUCUCCACUGUUGCUGGGAGUGUUCAUGGGUACAAACACUUUGGAAAGAUGUUUGAUACUUAGUUUCUACCAAGGCUGGAAAUAUACUCACCUUAUGAUCCAGCAUUUCCACUCCCAGGGUUAUAAUCCAACAGGAAAACACACACGACCACCACAAGAUGCGCAUAAGAUUCUCUACAGCCGUACAUUUUAUAUAAGCUCCAAACUUGAAACUGCCAGCUGCCCACUGGUGGUAGAAUAAAUCAGUUAUGGUACCUUCCCCGUCCCCUUGUCUUGGGAGUUUGAGCUGCUGUAACAAAACACCAGAGGCUGGAGGCUCAAUAACAACAUUAAUGUCCCACGGUUCUGGAGGCUGAAAGUCCAAAACCAAGGUGCCGGUGGAUUUGGUAUCUGGUAAGGGCUGGACUCCUGUUUGCAGACAACUGUCUUCCCAUUAGAUCCAAUGGCUUUUUCUUGGUGCCUGCGUUAGAAGAAGGAGGGAAGCCGAGAGGGAAAGAGACCUUUGCUUCUUCCUCUUUUCAGGAAGGCUUUAGCCCACAGCCCGUGGGAAGGCCACCCCCAUGACUUCAUCAAACCCUAAGCACUUGCCAAAGAUCCCACCUCCAGGCGCCAUCCCGUUGAGGAUCAGGGAUUCAACACACGAACGUGGGGGAAACAAGCAUUUGGUCCAUGACAGCCACCAUAGAACACACACACACAGCCAUGAGAACAAAGGGGAGCACUGUGCACCCCAGGAUGGAUUUUGGCAUCCUCAGCUGACCAGAAGGAAGCAGGCACAAAGACAGACCGCGGCAAGGCUCAGAGCAGACCUGGUCCAGGCUCUCAGAAGUCAGCACAGAGGCCCACACUGGGGGAGGAGGACCCACCGGGAAGGGCACGAGGGGGGCUUGUGGGGUUUCUGCCUUGCUCUGUGUCCCGAC
rnacentral:lncRNA from 1 species